GUCCUCGCAGGUGGCGCGUCUUUGCAGUCGCCAGGCGCGUUAGGGAAAACAAUUGCCAGCAAGGAAGGAGAAAAACUUCCCACAUUCUAAAAUCCUUGCUCGGGUUGAUCCCUUGUUUAGGAGCGCAGGGCUCAGCACCCCGACUCUCGGAGAAGAACCCUCAUGGUCACUUCUGUUUCUAGAAGGACCAGUGUUCCUCCCUAUCUCCCCCAAGGCUAGGUUUCCCCGAGGGGCUAGAAACGAGGGUUUGAUACAAACAAUCCGGUGGCCAGCUCUUUCACCACAGUUUGCUCAGGCACGGUGAAAACUGUCACGCCUUAACUCACAGCAAUUUGAGAAGCGGAGCCCGGAACCAGAUCUAGCUGGGUUUCAACUACAGGCUCAGGCAGCCUCUCCCAACGUGUUUACCAAGUGUACCUGGAGUGGGAAGUGUCUACUGUGACUUGUUCAUGUCAAGCCAGAUCCUGAUGUUAGAAAGAGAUCCCAGAAUGCUAACAAGUUGGGAAUUCUUGGGUUUCCAACUUGAUGUGAAACAAGCUCUCCUCUGAAACUGUGUUCAACACGUAGAGCUGGCGCACCAAAAUCGGUGGUCUUGAGUCACAAAUCUCCUGGGCUUUGGAAGGCAUUGAUGACCCAGCAGCAUGCCUUAGGAGUGGUGGCAUGGUGGGGGCUCAGGAGCCCAGGGCUUCUGGCCUUUGGAGCCUGCCUGUUGAGGGUGCUAAUUCUCCUACUGCUGCCCCGCCUACUGCUGCCCCGCCUACUGCUGCCCCGCCUACUGUUGACCCCUCAGCUCUUCAAUUUUGGUUCUGAAUCGACUUCAGACCUGCUCUGCUGUUUUGGCAGACUGAUCUCUCAAAGAAUGAAGAGAAGAAGCGCACCCUCUGUUUGUCCCUGAAGCUUAUUGUUUGCAAGCUAAUCCCCCGCGCGUGUUUUCCCUCGCAUGUAACCCUCACACCAAGCCCAAGGUGUAUUGUCCAUACACCGGUUUCACAGAUUAAAUAGUUGGUACUGGGGAGCAACGGAAGCAAGCAACCUUGGAAACUAGGCGAUGCUGUUUUACAACCUUGUCUUUUGCUUGGGAAGUCACUGUUUCUUUGUCAGAACUAAAUGAAAAAAAGCCCAGUAGCCUGCCAUUGAAACAGUGCAGAAUUUCUGCAUUUCACUUGGCUUAUAGAAGAGGAUGUGAAAAGGAAGGGAGUGUAGCUAUACUCAUUUGUACAAUGGAAAACGCACUUAAAAGGACUUCUUUUCAUUGAUCAUGUAAAUCAGCCAUGCUAUUGUGAUGCCUAGAGUUGGUUAAUUGGUCAAUGGCUCAGAGGAUAAAUAAAACUCCAGAAGGCUCUUCAUUAGAUUUGGGCAGAGAGAUAGCUUUUUCAAAGUCCAAUUUGCCUUUAGUAUUUCCUUCAUUAUAAAAAGCAAGGAAUAGAAGCUAGUUAUGUAACUUCCUGAAGAGAACUGCAGACAAAGAUGGAUCAGCCUUUUGGCUACCCAUUAGGGCAGAAGGCACAGGUCAGAGUCAAAGCAGGGACAGUUGAGCAUGUUCUUGGAGCCAUGUGAGGGUACCACCAAAUUAGGAAAGAGAGAUUUUGUGGUAGGUCAUCAAUAAAGAGACUUCUUUUGCUUUGUUCAAUUUAAUUUCUACUUCUUCUGUUCUCUACAGUUCCAGAAGUGACUGCACUACAUCUAAUUCAAUAAUCUAUUAAUAUUGGUUGAGCCAAAACUAUUGUGGUUUGAAUAUGCUCUACCCAGGGAGUGACUAAUACUAUUUGAAGGUGUGGCCUUGAAGUAGGUGUGGUCUUGUUGGAGUAGGUGUGUCACUGUGGGCAUGGGCUUAAAGACCCUCAUCCUAGCUGCCUGGAAUCCAGUUUUCUCCUAGCAGCCUUCAGAUGAAGAUGUAGAACUCUCAGCUCCUCCUUCACCAUGCCUGCCUGGACGCUGCCAUGAUCCUUCCUUGAUGAUAAUGGACUGAACCUCUGAGCCUAUAACACAGCCCCAAUUAAAUACUGUCCUUAUAAG
rnacentral:lncRNA from 1 species